GCGUGCUUAACACAUGCAAGUCGAACGGAAAGGCCCUGCUUUUGUGGGGUGCUCGAGUGGCGAACGGGUGAGUAACACGUGAGUAACCUGCCCUUGACUUUGGGAUAACUUCAGGAUCCUGGGGCUAAUACCGGAUAGGAGCUCCUGCUGCAUGGUGGGGGUUGGAAAGUUUCGGCGGUUGGGGAUGGACUCGCGGCUUAUCAGCUUGUUGGUGGGGUAGUGGCUUACCAAGGCUUUGACGGGUAGCCGGCCUGAGAGGGUGACCGGCCACAUUGGGACUGAGAUACGGCCCAGACUCCUACGGGAGGUAGCAGUGGGGAAUAUUGCACAAUGGGCGGAAGCCUGAUGCAGCAACGCCGCGUGCGGGAUGACGGCCUUCGGGUUGUAAACCGCUUUCGCCUGUGACGAAGCGUGAGUGACGGUAAUGGGUAAAGAAGCACCGGCUAACUACGUGCCAGCAGCCGCGGUGAUACGUAGGGUGCGAGCGUUGUCCGGAUUUAUUGGGCGUAAAGGGCUCGUAGGUGGUUGAUCGCGUCGGAAGUGUAAUCUUGGGGCUUAACCCUGAGCGUGCUUUCGAUACGGGUUGACUUGAGGAAGGUAGGGGAGAAUGGAAUUCCUGGUGGAGCGGUGGAAUGCGCAGAUAUCAGGAGGAACACCAGUGGCGAAGGCGGUUCUCUGGGCCUUUCCUGACGCUGAGGAGCGAAAGCGUGGGGAGCGAACAGGCUUAGAUACCCUGAUAGUCCACGCUGUAAACGGUGGGUACUAGGUGUGGGGUCCAUUCCACGGGUUCCGUGCCGUAGCUAACGCUUUAAGUACCCCGCCUGGGGAGUACGGCCGCAAGGCUAAAACUCAAAGGAAUUGACGGGGCCCCGCACAAGCGGCGGAGCAUGCGGAUUAAUUCGAUGCAACGCGUAGAACCUUACCUGGGUUUGACAUGGAUCGGGAGUGCUCAGAGAUGGGUGUGCCUCUUUUGGGGUCGGUUCACAGGUGGUGCAUGGCUGUCGUCAGCUCGUGUCGUGAGAUGUUGGGUUAAGUCCCGCAACGAGCGCAACCCUUGUUCACUGUUGCCAGCACGUUAUGGUGGGGACUCAGUGGAGACCGCCGGGGUCAACUCGGAGGAAGGUGGGGAUGACGUCAAGUCAUCAUGCCCCUUAUGUCCAGGGCUUCACGCAUGCUACAAUGGCUGGUACAGAGAGUGGCGAGCCUGUGAGGGUGAGCGAAUCUCGGAAAGCCGGUCUCAGUUCGGAUUGGGGUCUGCAACUCGACCUCAUGAAGUCGGAGUCGCUAGUAAUCGCAGAUCAGCAACGCUGCGGUGAAUACGUUCCCGGGGCUUGUACACACCGCCCGUCAAGUCAUGAAAGUUGGUAACACCCGAAGCCGGUGGCCUAACCGAUGUGGGGGAGCCGUCGAAGGUGGGACUGGUGAUU
rnacentral:rRNA from 1 species